GCUCUAUUUUGGUUUUCUCAAUCUGCAACAUAGAAGAAAUAUAAAGCAACAGAACAAGAACUUAUGAUAGCAUAGAAAUUGUGUCUCAGACUCUUAGCAAGUUCUCUAUUUGUGUCUUAGCAAGUUAUCUUUCCUUAUCAAUUGUGAGAGAUGGUGCAUUAUUGCUAUCAGCUUACAUAGAUUUAAAUUUUAAUAACUUGCAAUUUAUUUAUAACAUAUACAUAAAACUUCCUUCCAUAAUUAGCAUACUUAUGUAUUAUACUUGACUAGAUGCAUAAACAAUAUGAAAUAUUUAAUAAUUAAAAAAAAAACUCAAAUAGAUAAUUUCCAUUAAGCAUUACUGACGUACAACUUAAUCAAUGCAUUUUUCCUUCAAACUUAAAAAUACAGGGAACAUAGUAGUUCAUGGCAGACUUUUAGUUCCUUACCAUAACCACUCAAGUAACCAUGUGCAGCAAUGAAGACAAGGAAUUUGCACAUUUUCUUUCCCUCUUUGGAUGAGCAUAUAUAUAAAUUCAAUUAAUAAAAAAGCAUGAUUGAUGUAUUACACUAUGGAAUCCUACAAGCAUUGAGAACAAGGAAUCAACAACUAGAAUAUGCAUCUUUAGCUAAAUAUAGAGGUAGAGAUAAAUUGUUGAAGUGUACCUUUAUCUGUUGUAGCUGUGACAA
rnacentral:misc_RNA from 1 species